GACGAACGCUGGCGGCGUGCCUAAUACAUGCAAGUCGAGCGCAGGAAACUGACGGAACUCUUCGGAGGGAAGGCAGUGGAAUGAGCGGCGGACGGGUGAGUAACACGUAAGGAACCUGCCUCAAGGAUUGGGAUAACUCCGAGAAAUCGGAGCUAAUACCGGAUAGUUCAUCGGACCGCAUGGUCCGCUGAUGAAAGGCGCUCCGGCGUCACCUUGAGAUGGCCUUGCGGUGCAUUAGCUAGUUGGUGGGGUAACGGCCCACCAAGGCGACGAUGCAUAGCCGACCUGGGAGGGUGGUCGGCCACACUGGGACUGAGACACGGCCCAGACUCCUACGGGAGGCAGCAGUAGGGAAUCUUCCACAAUGGACGAAAGUCUGAUGGAGCAACGCCGCGUGAGUGAUGAAGGUUUUCGGAUCGAAAAACUCUGUUGUAAGGGAAGAACACGUACGAGAGGGAAUGCUCGUACCUUGACGGUACCUUACGAGAAAGCCACGGCUAACUACGUGCCAGCCGCCGCGGUAA
rnacentral:rRNA from 1 species